UGGUACUGCAGUUCUUGCAGGUAAAAAAUUCAUAAGCGAAUAAUCCUUAUGUCAUAUGAUACUAUUCCACUUACUACAUGUUUCUUUUUUUGCUUCUAUGAACUUGCAGUUUGUCUUCGCAUCCAAGUUAACAAAGUUACAAAGACAACAAGGAAUUCAAGGACUUGCCACCGGAGCGAGCUUUUGCUGAUUUUGUCCUCUGCAAUCUGAUUCUCCACCUUGUGAUCAUGAACUUAUUUGAAUAGAACUGUAUUAAUAUAAGUUGGAAACUGCAGCAAUAUGUAUUAGGUCUUAUCAGUUUUUGGACAUGUCCAUUUAUGGUACUCGCAUAAUUGUUUACCUGGUUGAAGAUUGUACUCUUGCCUCACAAUUCUCAGGAUUU